GAUGAACGCUGGCGGCGUGCUUAACACAUGCAAGUCGAACGAAGAAGCCCAGCUUGCGGGGCGGAUUAGUGGCGAACGGGUGAGUAACACGUGAGUAACCUGCCCUUGUCUCUGGGAUAAGCCUGGGAAACAGGGCGUAAUACUGGAUAUGACUUAUCAUCGCAUGGAGGGGGGUGGAGAGAAAUAUUGGUCUUGGAUGGACUCGCGGCCUAUCAGCGUGUUGGUGAGGUAAUGGCUCCCCAAGGGGACGACGGGUAGCCGACCUGAGAGGGUGACCGGCCUCACUGCGCCUGCGAGACGGCCCAGACUCCUACGGGACGCAGCAGUGGGAAAUAUUGCACAAUGGGCGCAAGCCUGAUACAACGACCCCGCGUGAGUGAUGACGGCCUUCGGGUUAUAAACCUAUUUCAGUAGGGAAGAAGCGAGAGUGACGGUACCUGCAGAAGAAGCGCCGGCUAACUACGUG
rnacentral:rRNA from 1 species